AUUGAACGCUGGCGGCAGGCCUAACACAUGCAAGUCGAGCGGAUGAAGGGAGCUUGCUCCUGGAUUCAGCGGCGGACGGGUGAGUAAUGCCUAGGAAUCUGCCUGGUAGUGGGGGAUAACGUCCGGAAACGGGCGCUAAUACCGCAUACGUCCUGAUGGAGAAAGUGGGGGAUCUUCGGACCUCACGCUCUCAGAUGAGCCUAGGUCGGAUUAGCUAGUUGGUUGGGUAAAGGCCUACCAAGGCGACGAUCCGUAACUGGUCUGAGAGGAUGAUCAGUCACACUGGAACUGAGACACGGUCCAGACUCCUACGGGAGGCAGCAGUGGGGAAUAUUGGACAAUGGGCGAAAGCCUGAUCCAGCCAUGCCGCGUGUGUGAAGAAGGUCUUCGGAUUGUAAAGCACUUUAAGUUGGGAGGAAGGGCAGUAAGUUAAUACCUUGCUGUUUUGACGGUACCAACAGAAUAAGCACCGGCUAACUUCGUG
rnacentral:rRNA from 1 species